AGAUUAAGUUAUUAAGGGCGCACGGUGGAUGCCUUGGCACUAGAAGCCGAUGAAGGACGUUACUAACGACGAUAUGCUUUGGGGAGCUGUAAGUAAGCUUUGAUCCAGAGAUUUCCGAAUGGGGAAACCCAGCAUGAGUUAUGUCAUGUUAUCGAUAUGUGAAUACAUAGCAUAUCAGAAGGCACACCCGGAGAACUGAAACAUCUUAGUACCCGGAGGAAGAGAAAGAAAAUUCGAUUCCCUUAGUAGCGGCGAGCGAAACGGGAAGAGCCCAAACCAAAAAGCUUGCUUGUUGGGGUUGUAGGACACUCUAUACGGAGUUACAAAGGACGACAUUAGACGAAUCAUCU
rnacentral:rRNA from 1 species